GCCACUCUCACCGACGACCCUAAAAUAUAUACUAGUAAGCAAACGGGACAAAUUAUACCGGUGAACCCCUUAAUAAUCUGUGCACGGAGUCCGGACGAAGACGCAGGACGCGUACAGCCAGGAGAUUGGGUGCUCGUGAAAAGCUGGAAAGAAAACCCCUUGACUCCAAGGUGGGAAGGACCGUUCCAAGUACUCCUCACCACAGAAGCAGCCAUACGAACCGCUGAAAAAGGAUGGACUCAUGCUAGUCGCAUAAAAGGACCGUAGCAGAGUUGCUACGGGGGAGGUAAAGCUUGGAUCUGACGAGUGGUGGGAAACCUUUUCCAAAGGGGUAAAUCCUGAUCGGUUCUGCUACCACCCUAACGAACCGAUCCCCUUUCUCCUGGACAUCCUGGAAGUGGUGUGUCAGAAGAAAGCCCCCAAUUUGCGGCGUGACCUCUCAUUAAUAAAAGCUGAUAACUGGGCCGCCAGUGCUAAAAAGUGGAAACGGGAGGUUUAUCCGGCUCCUGAAGAAUACCUCUGCUGCCGAGAAGAUGAUAAACCCCGAGGCUCGCAGCAACCGAGUCGUCGGGCGAGGCAGAGAGGUAAUAACCAGUGGAGUCCGUCGGAAGCCUCGACCCCCAUAUGGGAUGUCCAGGAAAUGUUGGCCGUCCUGCCCCAGGAUUGGUAACCCACCACUGGGGAAACCAAAGUCACCAAAUAAAGACAUAGGGUGAAGAAGACGCAGCUGAGGAAGACUCCACAGCCUUUUAUCACCGACCACCAGGAGACAGAAGGAUGACCCACUAGCAACAACCAGCACAGGCGCAGAGAACUCCAAGAUAACAUGGACUCCUGAAGGAUGGAGAGGAUAAAAGGACUGAAUCAGAAACUAGUUGGUGCGGCAGUAGGUGGAGCUGAGACUCCCCUGUCGCCCAGCGCUGAGCCUUUGCUUACUUAGUAUAACUGCUUCAAUAAUUAAUAAAUUCUUUGAUUGGAAA